AGCCACCAUGCCUGGCCACAAUGAUUAGGAUUUUAUGCACAUGUGAGAGCUGUGCCUCUCUUAAACCGUGUUAUGACCUUUGCAUAUUACCUGUCUGACA
ensembl:snoRNA